AUGGUGGAUGAGGGUGAGACAGCAGUGAAGUCCCUGGCACCUUCGUGGCCGCAGAAGCUGGAAGGCAAAGGGAACAGCCAUGGGCACUGCAGUGACUGCGAGAACGAGGAGGACAGCAGCUACAGCCGGGGUGGUUUGAGUCCAGCCAAUGACACUGGAGCCAAAAAGAAGAAAAAGAAACAAAAAAAAGAAAGAAAAAGGCAGACAGACAGAUUCAAACCAGGAUCAGCCUGUGAAGAUGAACUCUUUGCCAGCAGAAAGGAUCUAGGAAAUUCAGAAGGCCAUUGAGCUGUUCUCAGUGGGCCAAGGACCUGCCAAGACCGUGGAAGAGGCCAGCAAACGAAGCUACCAGUUCUGGGAUAUGCAGCCUGUCCCCAAAUUGGGCGAAGUGGUGAACAACCACGGUCCCGUGGAACCUGACAAAGACCACGUCUGCCAGGAGCCAUACACCCUGCCCCAGGGCUUCACCUGGGAUGCCUUGGACCUGGGUGACCAGGGGGUGCUGAAAGAACCGUACACACUACUGAAUGAGAACUAUGUGGAGGAUGAUGACAACAUGUUCCGCUUCGAUUGCUCUCCAGAGUUUCUCCUGUGGGCUCUGUGGCCACCUGGCUGGCUUCCCCAGUGGCACUGCGGGGUUCGUGUGGUCUCAAGUCAGAAACUGGAUGGGUUCAUUAGUGCCAUCCCAGCAAACAUCCACAUCUAUGACACAGAGAAGAAGAUGGUAGAGAUCAAUUUCCUGUGUGUCCACAAGAAGCUUCGUUCCAAGAGGGUGGCACCAGUCUUGAUCCGCGAGAUAACGUUGCGAGUGCACCUGGAGGGCAUCUUCCAAGCUGUAUACACUGCUGGGGUGGUGCUGCCCAAGACCGUGGGCACCCGCAGGUACUAGCAUCGGUCCCUUAACCCCCGGAAGCUGAUUGAGGUGAAGUUCUCCCACCUGAGCAGGAACAUGACCAUGCAGCGCACCAGGAAGCUCUACCGGCUGCCAGAGAAUCCUAAGACAGCUGGGCUGCGUCCAAUGGAGAAAAAGGACAUUCCAGCUGUGAACCAGCUGCUCGCCCGGUACCUGAAGCAGUUCCACCUCACCCCAGUCAUGAGCCAGGAGGAAGUGGAGCACUGGUUCUACCCCCAGGAGAACAUCAUCGACACCUUCGUGGUGGAGAAUGCCAGGGGCGAGGUGACAGAUUUUCUUAGUUUCUAAACACUUCCCUCCACCAUCAUGAACCACCCAGCCCACAAGAGUCUGAAAGUGGCUUACUUCUUCUACAAUGUCCACACCCAGACGCCUCUCCUCGAUCUCAUGAGUGAUGCACUUGUUCUCGCCAAAUUGAAAGGGUUCGAUGUGUUCAACGCGCUGGAUCUCAUGGAGAACAAGACUUUCCUGGAGAAGCUCAAGUUCGGCAUAGGGGAUGGCAACCUGCAGUAUUAUCUGUACAACUGGAAGUGCCCCAGCAUGGGCGCUGAGAAGGUCAGGCUUGUGCUACAGUAACCGGCUGUCGAUACACUUCUGGAUGAAGCCACUGAGGACUCCAGCCUGCAACAGAAGCACCACGUGGUCCAGUCUCACAGGCUGCCUGAGAGUCCCUGGAGAGAGCAGACUGAAUGCCUUACCAAAUGCCAGUGGAGUCGAUGAACGUGGUGCAGUGGCAUGGCUGCGUGACGUCACUUCGGGCCAUGUCUGGUCUCCCUGUUUUCCAAUUAAUCACCUCCUCAUGCAGCCAUGAUCAAGGGAAUGUAACUGCUGAAACUAGCUUGUGAUUGGCAUAUGAUGGAG